rnacentral:lncRNA from 1 species
AGGAAGGGCGCACUCACUGAACUUCCUCCGUUCCGUCUAUUCUCAGGGCCCGCCCGGCAGGACCACUGAGCAAGGCCUUGGAAAACCAGAGAGAUUAGAGCGCAGAAUGGGGAAAUGGAGAGAGAACCUGAAAGAGCCCCAAACUCGAGGACCUAUUGCUUCCCAAGAAUAACAUCUUCCAGAAGAACCAGACAGAAAACUAGGCGUCUGGGAACCCUGAAAUCCUUGCAGGAGUAGCAUCAUCAUGACCCUCUCUGUUCCUUUUGGCAAAGGACUUGCCUCCAUUGUUUGUUUGUUCAAUUGUCUUGUCUGUUAAAUAAAUAAAACCCUUUUCAUAUACCUUCAAA